GAGCUCAGUUGCAGAUGGAUGAGGGCCUGUCACGCCUUCUUCUUACCGCCUUAGCUAGCUAUCGUCUGCUUCCAUUUCUGCGUGCUGUUUUCCAGUCGUUAGUCAGAGCCAUUUUCACUGAUGCUGAGCCGCGGAGUGAAAGCUUCUCCCCCCAAGAAUUCAACGCCGACGGACACUGCAGCCGUCUACUUUACACUAACUCCGAGUGUUUACGCCAGAAAGCAGCUUUCGCAAAACAGAUUUCGACGGCCGAGAGAAAUUGGGGUGGUCGGUGAUAAUAUUUUUGGGUAAAAUGCGAUAUGAUACAGCAAGAUCUUCGUCUUGAGGACGGGCAGGGCUUCCUAACCAUCCAGUCUCUCACGUCGUAUGGAGCCAGGCAGGAGAAGGCCCCAGGUCUCCUGACUCAGAGGUUUUUUUGGCUUUCUCUGAAGCCGAUUUCUUUGACUGUACAAAAUAUCACUGACUUGUGUGAUUUGUCACCUGGAGAGAAUAAUAAAAUGGUGAUUGU